rnacentral:lncRNA from 1 species
CACUCCAGCCUGGCCGACAGAGCAAGACUCCGUCUCAAAAAAAAAAAAAAGAUUGCAGUGAGCCACGAUAGCACCACUGCAUUCCAGACUGGGUGACAGGGCAAGGCCGUCUCUCAAAGGAAAAAAGAAACAAAGAUUUCCAUUCUGGCAGUCCACCCCUUUUGUUUCCCCCAUUAUUAACUUUACUUCUCCCUCAUUAUUAGUUUUUACUUUAUUUAAAUGUGUGUAUCUGCUCCCAUCUAACCUAACACGACUCUCUCUCUAGCAAAAAUAUUUGCAAUCUGCAGUCCCUUCCCCAAAGAGGGAUCCACCCAAGCCUCGUAUUGUUGUGUCCACCUCCAAGUUCAGGAUCUUUUGGUGAUAGAUCUUCUCUAGUGAAAAUGUCUUCAAACAUAGCAAGAGGCUUUAAAUACUGGGUAUCCAAAAAAUGAUAGGGGUCCUAAAACCAGAUCCAGUUACCUACCUAUCAUCCAAGACCUCGCUUGAGUCCUUUUGGGUGCUCCCAACAUUAGUGUCGUAAAACUAAAUACAGGUGAUGUGAGCAGUUGUUCACUGAUGAUUCUAAUGCUCUCUUGGAAUUCAUUGUUUCUCUGUUAUGGUGUUUCAUAGUCUUUGUGGCAAAAAUAGCAUUGCAUCAUUAAAAGUAUGUUACUGUCUGGGCGUGGUGGCUGAAGCCUGUAAUCCCAGCACUUUGGGAGGCCGAGGUGGGUGGAUCACGAGCUCAGGAGAUCGAGACCAUCCUGGCUAACACGGUGAAACCCUGUCUCUACUAAAAAUACAAAAAAUUAGCCGGGCGUGGUGGUGGGCACCUGUAGUCCCAGCUACUCAGGAGGUUGAGGCAGGAGAAUGGCGUGAACCUGGGAGGCGGAGCUGGCAGUGAGCCAAGAUCGCACCAUUGCACUCCAGCCUGGGCAACACAGUGAGACUCCGUCUCAAAAAAAAAAAAAAA